rnacentral:rRNA from 1 species
CAGCAGCCGCGGUAAUACGAGGGGGGCAAGCGUUGUUCGGAAUUAUUGGGCGUAAAGGGUGCGUAGGCGGUUUGAUAAGUCUUGUGUGAAAUCUCUGGGCUCAACCCAGAGUCUGCACAGGAAACUGUCGGGCUUGAGAGUGGGAGAGGUGAGUGGAAUUUCCGGUGUAGCGGUGAAAUGCGUAGAUAUCGGAAGGAACACCUGUGGCGAAAGCGGCUCACUGGACCAUUUCUGACGCUGAUGCACGAAAGCUAGGGGAGCAAACAGGAUUAGAUACCCGCGUAGUCCCUGUCUCUUAUAC